AUCUUCGAUCUGCUGCGGGCAGAUGAAGUGAAUAUGCGUGUCGAUUCCGCCCGCGGUCAGGAUUUUGCCUUCGCCUGCAAUGACUUCCGUGCCGGGCCCGAUGAUCAGCGUGACGCCCGGCUGGGUGUCGGGGUUGCCCGCCUUGCCGAUCCCCGCGAUCCGUCCAUCGCGCAGACCGACAUCGGCCUUGUAGAUGCCCGUGUGAUCGACGAUCAGCGCAUUGGUGAUGACGGUGUCCAUCGCCCCCCCCGACCGCGGGAUUUGCGAUUGCCCCAUGCCGUCGCGGAU
rnacentral:sRNA from 1 species